GACGAACGCUGGCGGCGUGCUUAACACAUGCAAGUCGAACGGAAAGGCCUGCUUUCCCUUGUGGAUUGCGGGUACUCGAGUGGCGAACGGGUGAGUAACACGUGAGUGAUCUGCCCCCAACUUGGGUAUAAGCCUGGGAAACUGGGUCUAAUUCCCGAUAGGACUGCAGGGUGGUGCCUGUGGUGGAAAACGAUGUUCUAGUGGUUGGGGAUGAGCCCGCGGCCUAUCAGCUUGUUGGUGGGGUAAUGGCCUACCAAGGCGGCGACGGGUAGCCGGCCUGAGAGGGUGGACGGCCGCAUUGGGACUGCGAUACGGCCCAGACUCCUACGGGAGGCAGCCGUGGGGAAUCUUGCGCGAUGGGCGGAAGCCUGAUGCCGCGACGCCGCGUGGGGGAUGACGGCCUUCGGGUUGUAAACUCCUUUCGACCGCGAGGAAGCCACCUGGUUGGAAGGGUGGUGACGGUAGUGGUAGAAGAAGCACCGGCUAACUACGUG
rnacentral:rRNA from 1 species